AUGCUAGUCGGACGACCCCGGACUAUGGCGGGGAAGUGGCAGACAGCUCAGUAACACGUAGCUAACCUACCCUUGGGACGGGAACAACUCCGGGAAACUGGGGUUAAUCUCCGAUAGGUGUGGAUGCCUGGAAUGGUUCCACGCCCAAAGGUAUGCGCGUCCAUGUUGUGCGCACACGCCCAAGGAUGGGGCUGCGGCCGAUCAGGCUGUUGGUGAGGUAAAGGCUCACCAAACCUUUGACCGGUACGGGCCGUGAGAGCGGGAGCCCGGAGAUGGGCACUGAGACAGGGGCCCAGGCCCUACGGGGCGCAGCAGGCGCGAAACCUCCACAAUGCACGCAAGUGCGAUGGGGCUACCUCGAGUGCCGUCUGAAGAAGGCGGCUUUUCCACUGUGUAACAAGCCGUGGGAAUAAGAGGGGGGCAAGACUGGUGUCAGCCGCCGCGGUAACACCAGCUCCUCGAGUGGUGGGGAUGAUUAUUUGGCCUAAAGCGUUCGUAGCCGGCUCGGUAAGUCCUUCGUUAAAUCCAGCGUCCUAAGCGUUGGCCUGCGAGGGUGACUGUCGAGCUAGAGGGUGGGAGAAGUCAGCGGUAUUCCUGGGGUAGGGGCGAAAUCCAUUGAUCCCAGGAGGACCACCAGUGGCGAAGGCUGCUGUCUAGAACACGCCUGACGGUGAGGGACGAAAGCUGGGGGAGCGAAUCGGAUUAGAUACCCGAGUAGUCCCAGCCGUAAACGAUG
rnacentral:rRNA from 1 species